GUGAGGCUGGCUUGCCUUCUUGAUUUAUGUGGCCAAAGGGUAGCAGCCACCUCUGCAAAGGUCCAGUGAAGAGUCCCCUUUCCCCCAAGUAAUGCCGAGAAGAGAGAGGCAGGUGCAGCCAGCGAUGCGGCGGAGUCUCCGCAAGAGAGCGAGGGCCUGGCGUGGGGCGCACACGCACGCGCGUCUUGGGUCCCUGCAGAGAGGUGUCCCCAGUGCUGUGCCCUGUUCGGUGCCGGGAGCGGUGCCACGGGCCCGCCGCCGCCCUAGUAAGGUGUCGGGGCCUUUGCGCGCCUAGCGCCAUGGCCGCGUCGCCGCUCCUCCGCACCUCCCAGGCUCCACGAACACGGCCAGGCAUUUCCAAGUAGAGGGCAGAACCCUCUCCCCAUCUCCCCACUUAGCACCUGGGAGGCCCCGUGGAGGAGGCUAGGACCUCUGGGGGUUCCACACUCUGCUGGUGGUGCUGGCUCCUGGCGGGAGCUUCUGCCCUCACGGGGCGGCCUCCCGGUUCCGCUGUAGGAAAGCCCUGCCCGACGUCUCCUGGAAGGGCCCUCCAUGGCCUCUCCAAAUCCUUCCAACCCGAACAAUGGAAGGGAAGAAGGAAAGGAGGGGCUGAGGAAGGAAACAGACACUGACCAAAGCCCAGAGGUUGGAAACCAUGGCUCUUAAAAGCAGAGAUGAAGAGAAAAGAGUGAGUUCAAAAGACAGAGCAUGAGAAAGACCCCACCCGCUAUUACUGGCUUUGAAGAUGGAGAGAAGAGGCCACAAGCCAAGGAAUGCAGCAGCUUCCAGAAGCAUGAAAGAGCCCUUAGGUUACAGCCAGCAAGGGAAGGAAACUGCGACCCUACAGCCACAAGACUUGACUUCUGCCAACAGCCAGAAGGAGCAGGAAAUACGUUCUCCCUGAGAGCCUCCAGAAAGGAACACAGUCUGCCCACACCUUAAUUUUAGCCUGGGGAGGCCCAUACCAGGUCUCUGCUUUACA
rnacentral:lncRNA from 1 species